UGGGUCUCCUUUCUCUAUAAGAACACCUCUAACGGCGCCUUGAAAAAUAUGCAUCCCCAUCAACUGAGAUGCAGAAAAUUCAAUCUCUAUUCUCAACAUCCUCCAAGGAGCAGAAGUUUCUGGUGAGGAAACCCUAGGAGGAAUUUUGCGGAUUAUGAAGAUUUGUUACCCAUCUCAUCUGUAGAAGAUGAUGACUAUUUAACAUGCACUACUAUCUGAUCUCUCUUAUUACAUUUGAACUUUUUCUCCGGACUAGAGUUAUUUUUGCUCUAUACAUCGUUAUUUUUGCAAUUUCUAAGUUUCAAUGAUAGGGAAGUGUAAUAUGAUUUAUCAGUUUUUAUAAAAAAAAAUCGCAUGCUGUCAUUUUGAUAUUUAGAUUAACAUUGGUUUUUCUUGAAAUAAUGGCUAGCGGUGAUGACACUAUUGUGGACUAGAGUUUCUGAUUGGGGCUCUUCACCCUAGUUUGACGACAAACCCUUGGCUGUCUGAGCGCUAUUAUUUUCAUGUAGUUUUUGUUUAAUUGUGAAAAAUUGCACCCAUUACCAAUUCGGGAAGAUUGACAUUGGUUCUUCUUGAGAUAAUGGCUUGGGUUGCGAUAUCUAAUCUGUGGCCAUUCUGAUUCAUGUGUUUUCAGUACCAUGUUAUCCGGGAAACUCCACAUACAUUUUAUAGACCAUUUUGAUUUGUAGAAUGUGGUUUUCUUUUGCAGCUCAACAGUUAACCAUUUUUCUUUGAAGAAACAUUUCCAAAAACCUUGGCAGUCAGCUUGUUAUGGGACGUAGUUUAGGCUUUAAAUUUUAUGCCUUCAUUGUACACGAUCAAAUGUAUCACAAUUUAAUGAAUUGAAAUCUUAACUAUAAAUAUUAAUCUUACGAGUUGUACAUUCUGUAA